GAGCCGGAGGGAAACCGAGUCUUAAUUGGGCGUUAAGUUGCAGGGUAUAGACCCGAAACCCGGUGAUCUAGCCAUGGGCAGGUUGAAGGUUGGGUAACACUAACUGGAGGACCGAACCGACUAAUGUUGAAAAAUUAGCGGAUGACCUGUGGCUGGGGGUGAAAGGCCAAUCAAACCGGGAGAUAGCUGGUUCUCCCCGAAAGCUAUUUAGGUAGCGCCUCGUGAAUUCAUCUCCGGGGGUAGAGCACUGUUUCGGCUAGGGGGCCAUCCCGGCUUACCAACCCGAUGCAAACUGCGAAUACCGGAGAAUGUUAUCACGGGAGACACACGGCGGGUGCUAACGUCCGUCGUGAAGAGGGAAACAACCCAGACCGCCAGCUAAGGUCCCAAAGUCAUGGUUAAGUGGGAAACGAUGUGGGAAGGCCCAGACAGCCAGGAUGUUGGCUUAGAAGCAGCCAUCAUUUAAAGAAAGCGUAAUAGCUCACUGGUCGAGUCGGCCUGCGCGGAAGAUGUAACGGGGCUAAACCAUGCACCGAAGCUGCGGCAGCGACGCUUAUGCGUUGUUGGGUAGGGGAGCG
rnacentral:rRNA from 1 species